CAGAAGCAAAAACGGAAAGAAUGUUACUUAAACCAAUGAUCAGAUGCAGAGAGUGGAAACACGGCAAAGCAAACAAAUGAAUACUGUGAGUAAAUAACCUGAAAGCAAAUGGGGAAGAAAACCUCCUCUGGAUAACUGUGGCUCUUGGGACAAAAAUCAGGUUCCUGGUACAUAGCCUGGCUGAGAUCAUACCUUUUCCCUGGAUCCCAGACCUGGGAUUCAGAUGUCAUUCUCUGUGUGGUGUCCUGAUUUUAUUCCUAGGAAAAGGAUCCCCAAAGGAGGUGUAAGGAUCCUGGACUCUAGUGCCUGCAAGAAGCUUCAGCCACCUUCACAGGCUCAGACUCGCCGUCCAUUAGGAGGUGAAGACUGGAUGGGAGCUGCUGGAUCGACCUUGAUAUGCCAUGUCCUUGUGUGGAUGAAGGACCUACAUCUCAGGGAUGGCCAGCAGCAGAUGUAAGAAUGUGUCCAAGAAUAGUCUGAACAACCUACACUGAUAGAUCUCAGCCGCUCAGCAGAAUGCGGGAGAGCCAAGUGCUGAUGGGCUAGAGGGGUCCCAGGAGUCACCGUGCGGCUGUGCAGCAGGUGCAGUGCCUGCAGUCACCA